CUAAACAUGCACAGGACACUUGGAAAAUACACUAAAGAGCAUAUAAAACCAGAAAAAGCAUAAUAUGGGCCCUUUAAAUAUUGACAUCUUUCCAGUUAAAGAAACAAUGUUGUCGUUCAGACCAUCAUCUCUGUUAAAAGUGAUGAGACUUAAAUGCCUUUAAAAAAAUAGGUGACACAGCAAAAAGGAAAACUGAAAAUCCCCUUUUAAUUUUUUUCUGUGCCUGUUUGACUGCUAGAGAGUUUAUUUUUUAAAGCAAACUAACUUACAGAUGUUGUUAUCCUCCAUUAAUUGCAACUGUAUUUGAAUUUAAUCUUGUAAAUACUUUAUUUUUCUUCUACCUCAAUUAGCUCUGGAUAUCAUACUUUAGCUCAAUGCUAGGCAGACAAACAAGACAGACGCCGUGGUAGAAGUGUCAAGACGCAGUGGAAGAGCACAUGGCUUUCACCUGGAGUCUACCUCAAUGCCAACGUGAGCACCUGAUAUCCUCCUUUUUCUACAUAUAUACAGUAUAUGAGGUGUUUUUUAAAUAAAUAAAUAAAAACAUUCAGUAUCUGAUCAAUAAUGGUUUUCUCAUAUCACACAGAUUGCAAAAAAACAAGAUUAACUGACAUAGCUUCUAUUUAUCACUCUGAACAUUUUAUUUUUGGAGGGGUCUUAAAAUUUGGGCUUACUGCCAUUCACAUGUUCUCUAUUUAUGUGUACGUGUGCUUGUCCCAUUUGAAAGCAAACUACCUCUACCGCUGCCUCUUUUAUAGCUCUCUCCUUCUCUUUGUACCUCCAGGAUAGAUUUCAAGAGAGCAAUGAUGUAAGUGUGAAUGCUGUUCGUUUUUGUUGACAGGAAAUGAUAAAUAAACAUUGUUUCAUGUUUUGGUUUUACAAUG